rnacentral:rRNA from 1 species
GACGUAGGGCGCGAGCGUUGUCCGGAUUUAUUGGGCGUAAAGAGCUCGUAGGCGGCUUGUCGCGUCGUCCGUGAAAACUUGUGGCUUAACCACAGGCUGGCGGUCGAUACGGGCAGGCUGGAGUUCGGUAGGGGAGACUGGAAUUCCUGGUGUAGCGGUGAAAUGCGCAGAUAUCAGGAGGAACACCGGUGGCGAAGGCGGGUCUCUAGUACGGUACUGACGCUGAGACGCGAAAGCGUGGGGAGCGAACAGG